rnacentral:lncRNA from 1 species
UGGUAACUCAUGAAGCCUUUCCAUGCUUUUCAUAAAACAAAUACAUGCAUAUGUAUGCAUUCAGCACUACUUAGCCAUUUUCCCGCCAUCUCCUGCUGCCAGCACUGAUCCCAUGAUAUUCCUGCAUUUCUCGUUUGUUUCCAAGAAUGGUAAUCUGCUGUUGUCGCACUCUAGCGCAAGCAAACGAGAAUAUGCACUUUGCAAAUCGCCUUUUUUGUGGUACUCGCACUCUCCAUAUCCCCCCGCUGUGCAAGCAACGUGCACUUGUGAGGCGAAUUUUCAGGGACACAGGAGAGCCUGUGUACAAAAUAGAACCGUUGGACACAAUCAAAAUCUUCCAUGACGCAGCACGCCCUGGCAAUUCUAGCUAUUGUUGCCUCUUGAACACAAAACCCGAGCCGAGCCUUUUUAC